rnacentral:rRNA from 1 species
CCUACGGGUGGCAGCAGUGGGGAAUAUUGCACAAUGGGCGGAAGCCUGAUGCAGCAACGCCGCGUGAGUGAAGAAGGCAUUCGUGUCGUAAAGCUCUAUCAGCAGGGAAGAAAAUGACGGUACUUGAGUAAGAAGCCCCGGCUAACUACGUGCCAGCAGCCGCGGUAAUACGUAGGGGGCUAGCGUUAUCCGGAUUUACUGGGCGUAAAGGGUGCGUAGAUGGUUGCUUAAGUCCGAAGUGAAAGGCCGAGGCCGAACCCCGGGACAGCUUUGGAAACUGUGAAGCUGGAGUGCAGGAGGGGCGAGUGGAAUUCCUGGUGUAGCGGUGAAAUGCGUAGAUAUCAGGAGGAACACCAGCUGCGAAGGCGGCUUUCUGGACCGUAACUGACACUGAGGCACGAAAGCGUGGGGAGCAAACAGGAUUAGAUACCCCAGUAGUC